GACAGAGGGUGCGAGCGUUGUCCGGAAUCACUGGGCGUAAAGGGCGCGUAGGCGGCCUGAUAAGUAGGGGGUGAAAUCCUGUGGCUUAACUGCAGGGCUGCCUCCUAGACUGUUAGGCUCGAGCACGGUAGAGCCAGAUGGAAUUCCCGGUGUAGCGGUGGAAUGCGUAGAGAUCGGGAAGAACAUCGGUGGCGAAGGCGGUCUGCUGGGCCGUUGCUGACGCUGAGGCGCGACAGCGUGGGGAGCAAACAGG
rnacentral:rRNA from 1 species